rnacentral:rRNA from 1 species
UAGGGAAUCUUCCGCAAUGGACGCAAGUCUGACGGAGCAACGCCGCGUGAGUGAAGAAGGAUUUCGGUUCGUAAAACUCUGUUGUUAGAGAAGAACAGCGCAUAGAGUAACUGUUAUGCGUGUGACGGUAUCUAACCAGAAAGCCACGGCUAACUACGUGCCAGCAGCCGCGGUAAUACGUAGGUGGCAAGCGUUGUCCGGAUUUAUUGGGCGUAAAGCGAGCGCAGGCGGUCAAUUAAGUCUGAUGUGAAAGCCCCCGGCUCAACCGGGGAGGGUCAUUGGAAACUGGUUGACUUGAGUGCAGAAGAGGAGAGUGGAAUUCCAUGUGUAGCGGUGAAAUGCGUAGAUAUAUGGAGGAACACCAGUGGCGAAGGCGACUCGCUGGUCUGUAACUGACGCUGAGGUUCGAAAGCGUGGGUAGCAAACAGG